rnacentral:rRNA from 1 species
GCGACGAAUCUUCCGCAAUGGGCGCAAGCCUGACGGAGCGACGCCGCGUGUGGGAUGAAGCGCCUACGGCGUGUAAACCACUGUCAGGGGGCGGAACCAAUGAUCGCCCCCAAAGGAAGAGACGGCUAACCCUGUGCCAGCAGCCGCGGUAAGACAGGGGUCUCGAGCGUUAAUCGGAAUCACUGGGCUUAAAGGGUGCGUAGGCGGACCCGAACGCGUCCCGUGAAAUCCCCCGGCUCAACCGGGGAACUGCGGGGCGAACGGUGGGUCUCGAGGCAGGUAGGGGUCGCCGGAACCGUAGGUGGAGCGGUGAAAUGCGUAGAUAUCUACGGGAACGCCGAUGGUGAAGACGGGCGACUGGGCCUGUCCUGACGCUGAGGCACGAAAGCGUGGGGAGCAAACAGGAUUAGAAACCCUUGUAGUCC